ACUGUUACUGAGUCUAUUACCAUGUCACCAUUGGCGGCAGCUUCAGAUGCUGAUAAGAAUGUUCCUCGCCAGGAUGAACAAGGUUUUCUUCAAACUGGCUGUGGUAUACCUGAUGCAGUGGGCUUGGUACAGCAGCAUCAGCAGCAGAAAGUGGACACCACGCAGGAAGACUCCAACUACAGCCUGCUGCAGAUGCACUAACACACUUACUACAGCUCC